UACGUAGGGGGCUAGCGUUAAUCGGAAUUACUGGGCGUAAAGCGUGCGCAGGCGGUUUUGUAAGACAGAGGUGAAAUCCCCGGGCUCAACCUGGGAACUGCCUUUGUGACUGCAAGGCUUGAGUGCGGCAGAGGGGGAUGGAAUUCCGCGUGUAGCAGUGAAAUGCGUAGAUAUGCGGAGGAACACCGAUGGCGAAGGCAAUCCCCUGGGCCUGCACUGACGCUCAUGCACGAAAGCGUGGGGAGCAAACAGG
rnacentral:rRNA from 1 species